UUUCAGGUAUUAUGUCAGCUUUCUGGAUAAGUUAUGUCAUAUCGCUGAUAUUGCCUAUGCACCAUGUGACUUGUUGUUGAUACAUGUUCCUGAUUUUCUCAAUAGAUAUACUUAUAUGCUAGGGUACUCUAUCGAUGACUUAGAGGGCAUUCUCUCUGUCACUUGUAUUGGCUUGGUUGUUGAGUGUUCUUUUAGGUUGAUGCUUGUGCACCACUUACUGCGAGUUGACCGAGUUCAAGAUGACAUUCCCUGGGAUCCUGGUGGAUUCACGGCAUGGUGAUGAGGAGAAGCAAUGGGUACACGCGAAGAAGAGUGAAGCUGGAGCAUGCACGAGCAAUGGAGAAGAGCCGCAACUUAGAGAGUGAUCAAGCGAGUGCUACAUGAUCAAAGCCCGGUGAGCUGUUUCAUGACCCCAAUCUGAAUAUAUCAUCCAUUGAUCAUGCUGAAAUCAUUUGAUAUUUGAGUUUCUUAAGCCAUUUCUUAAAUGAUUUCCCACUGAAUUUUAUUUGACAUAUUGUGCUUGAUGUGAACAUGAGAACUGAUUAUUGAAUGCCUUGUAAACUAGUGAUCUAUACAAUGAUUGCUUUGCUGAAAUUAGUGAGAACUAGUAGUUUUGAGUGCUCAAAUCCCUAGUACACUAGAAAACUUCAUCAUUUUCUGAAUUUACUAUGAUACACCUAGAUCACCAUGUUUAGAUGCUGAAUUUGUGCUAAGUGUGUUCCCAUUGAGAGCAAUCACCUAACCACUAUGGAUUAGCAUGCUAUGUUCCCUGGAUCGGUAGUAUGUGAACCAAACAUGGUUGAGUGAUGAUUCUUGUUUUUGUUCAAAAAAAAGUAUAUAUUAUAAUGAAUAAUUAUUUGAUCUUACCUAACAGUAGCAUGCCAUGUUCCCUGGAUCGGUGGCUUGUGAAAUCUGGUUGGAUCGGAUAGGAGUUAAUUAUGUUAAAAAAUGUAAUUGUCGAACCAGGUGUAUACCAUGUUCUCGGGAUCGGUGGUAUGUUCCUUUGGGGAGGCAAACAAAAAAAACUAAUAAUUGGUUGAGCUGGGUGUAUACCAUGUUCUCGGGAUCGCUGGUAUGUUCCUAUGGUGAGACUAAUAAUAAUAUAAUCAUUGCUUUAUCUCUGUAAAUAAGUGAUUUGAUCACAAGAUUUAAUUCCAGUUCUUUUUGUUCUCGGGAUCAUGCUCUCUUUAGGAACCAUUUGGCACAGUCAUCACUUAAACUUGUUGAUCCUCUUUUAUCAUUGUAAAAGUUUAAAAUGGUCAAGUCUACUAGUAUUCUACCGCUUUGAAGCACUCCUAACCAUUGAUUUUCACUAGCUAAGUCCAAAGCAUGCAUUGUUUGGAGAUCUACUUCACUUGGCAUUCUCUAGUCAGCUCACUGUUCACAUUCUUGCUAUUGUCAUUUGCCUUUGCUUGAGGACAAGCAAAGAUUUAAGUGUGGGGGAACUUGAUAAGCACAUUUCAUAUAUAUAAUUUGACACCCAAAUAUAGCAUCUGUUGUGAUCUGACAAUCAAUUCUUGCUAUGAAUUACCGCAUAUUUUAAUGAGAAUCAUAUAAAGGGUUCAUUUACUUGUCACUUGUUUCUUUUGCAGAAAAGUGCGCAAAGGCACUAUAAUCGUCAAGAUUCCGAACAUAUGGCUAACCAGAAGAGAGAAGGGCAUGAAAGAAAUACGUCAAGGACUUCAGUGAGAAGAAAAGAAGUAUCCAGGGGAGCAAACUAAAAGAAGAAGGGGAUCUUCUUGGGAAGAAAUGAAUAGAAGAGGAGGGCCAAAUCAUAAAAGUGGCAGAUCAGAUGGGGAUCAAAAUCCCUAGAUGCAUCCAUUCCCAAAUUGGGCCUGGUAUAUCUCCAUCUCCUCUCUCCCCCGCUUCCUUCUCCACCUACGGCCGCCGCUGCGGCCAGGCCAGCGUGGCGGCGCGCCAACCAGCUACCAGUGCCCACCUCGCACGACCUCUCCCUCCAGCCGGCGCGCCCGGCCAGACACACCGCCGCUGCUUCUUCUUCCCUUCUUCCCCGCUUCGCUGAAUCCCUGUCUGCUGCUCCUUCUUCUCCGCGCCCCUGCUGCUGCUCGUCUACAAUCUCCCUCGCUGCUCCUUCUCCCUCCUUCCGCUGCUUUCUGCUUCUUCUUCUUGCGCCGAGCCGCCGCUGCUCCUUCUUCUUCUCCUAUACCUGCUGCUGCUCUUCACCUUCCCUUGCCCCAACUUGCUGUUGCUCUCUCUCCAACGCCCCUGCUGCUUAUCCCUUCUCUCUGAACCCCCUUCGCUGCUCCUCUGUUCCUUGCUGCCGUCCCUCCUCAACGCCUCCUCCUCUUCCUCUGCUUCUUUGCUUCUUUUCUGAACCAUAAUCCAGCUGUUGUUCUCUCUCUCUCUCCCUCUCUCUCAAAUUUCUGUAACCUUGAGUAGUGUAAUGUUUAGGGUAGUGUAAUGUUUAGACUUUGUAAUAUUCAGAAUUGAGAUGUGUAUGGCAAAUGCUUUGUAAUGUUCAGAUUUGAGUAGUGCUUGAAGCUUGUUUAGUUUCA